UCGAACGAGCGAGAGGGAGCUUGCUUUCUCGAGCGAGUGGCGAACGGGUGAGUAACGCGUGAGGAACCUGCCUCAAAGAGGGGGACAACAGUUGGAAACGACUGCUAAUACCGCAUAAGCCCACGACCCGGCAUCGGGUAGAGGGAAAAGGAGCAAUCCGCUUUGAGAUGGCCUCGCGUCCGAUUAGCUAGUUGGUGAGGUAACGGCCCACCAAGGCGACGAUCGGUAGCCGGACUGAGAGGUUGAACGGCCACAUUGGGACUGAGACACGGCCCAGACUCCUACGGGAGGCAGCAGUGGGGAAUAUUGCACAAUGGGGGAAACCCUGAUGCAGCGACGCCGCGUGGAGGAAGAAGGUCUUCGGAUUGUAAACUCCUGUUGUUGAGGAAGAUAAUGACGGUACUCAACAAGGAAGUGACGGCUAACUACGUGCCAGCAGCCGCGGUAAAACGUAGGUCACAAGCGUUGUCCGGAAUUACUGGGUGUAAAGGGAGCGCAGGCGGGAAGACAAGUUGGAAGUGAAAUCCAUGGGCUCAACCCAUGAACUGCUUUCAAAACUGUUUUUCUUGAGUAGUGCAGAGGUAGGCGGAAUUCCCGGUGUAGCGGUGGAAUGCGUAGAUAUCGGGAGGAACACCAGUGGCGAAGGCGGCCUACUGGGCACC
rnacentral:rRNA from 1 species